UACGGAGGAUGCGAGCGUUAUCCGGAUUUAUUGGGUUUAAAGGGUGCGUAGGCGGAAUAUCAAGUCAGCGGUAAAAAUUCGGGGCUCAACCCCGUCGUGCCGUUGAAACUGAUGUUCUUGAGUGGGCGAGAAGUAUGCGGAAUGCGUGGUGUAGCGGUGAAAUGCAUAGAUAUCACGCAGAACACCGAUUGCGAAGGCAGCUUGCUAGGCCGGAUCUGACACUGAUGCACGAAAGCGUGGGUAUCGAACAGG
rnacentral:rRNA from 1 species